CAGUAGCCACGGGAACACGGAGGGAGCUAGCGUCGUUCGGAAUUACUGGGCGUAAAGCGCACGUAGGCGGCUUUGUAAGUUAGAGGUGAAAGCCUGGAGCUCAACUCCAGAAUUGCCUUUAAGACUGCAUCGCUUGAAUCCAGGAGAGGUGAGUGGAAUUCCGAGUGUAGAGGUGAAAUUCGUAGAUAUUCGGAAGAACACCAGUGGCGAAGGCGGCUCACUGGACUGGUAUUGACGCUGAGGUGCGAAAGCGUGGGGAGCAAACAGGAUUAGAUACCCGCGUAGUCCCUGUCUCUUAUAC
rnacentral:rRNA from 1 species